rnacentral:rRNA from 1 species
CACGUAGUUAGCCGGGGCUUCUUAGUCAGGUACCGUCAUUUUCUUCCCUGCUGAUAGAGCUUUACAUACCGAAAUACUUCUUCACUCACGCGGCGUCGCUGCAUCAGGGUUCCCCCCAUUGUGCAAUAUUCCCCACUGCUGCCUCCCGUAGGAGUCUGGGCCGUGUCUCAGCCCCAAUGUGGCCGUCCACCCUCUCAGGCCGGCUACUGAUCGUCGCCUUGGUGGGCCGCUGCCCCGCCAACAAGCUAAUCAGACGCGGGCCCAUCGCAUACCACCGGAGUUUUUCACACCAAGCCAUGCGGCUCUGUGCGCUUAUGCGGUAUUAGCACCUAUUUCUAAGUGUUAUCCCCGGUAUGCGGCAGUUGCCACGCGUACUCACCCGUCCGCCACUAGGCGAGGAGUUCACUAGGUUUCCUCCUUCGCCCCCGUUCCGACUUGCACUGUGUUAAGUCACGCCGCCACGCGUUCACUCCUCGAGCCACGAGUCAAACUACU